rnacentral:lncRNA from 1 species
GGCUAAAACAAGAUCACAGCGAGCUUAGUGAGGUCCCAAGGAAGCUCGGAGUGCUUCGUUGGAAGUUUUUGGACGUAAGAACACGGAGAUCGACAAGUUCAAAGUUUGGCCGGAGCUUUCGAGGAGUUUUCCGGCGAAUCCUCGGCGAGUUAGGAGUCGAGGUAGGUAUCAAUCUCUUCGUCUCGUCAAGUACUACAACUUUCCUUUUUGUUUCACUCAAUUUCGUUGAGUAUUGAAGAAGUUAUACUCAUUUGAAAAAUACCCAGUUUCCGGCGACCUCCGAGGCUUUCGAGGCAGUUUCCGGCCAAACCACGGCGAACUAGGUGUUGUUCAAGGUACCAUUCUCUUUGUCUCUUCAAGGGCUACAACUUUCGUUUUUGAAUUACUUGAUUUCGUUGAGAAAUGACAAAGUUAUGGCAAUUUAAAAAACUGCCCGGAAAACGGCCGCCGGAAAAACCAGUCCGGCGACCCAAGGAAGAAGAAGGUGCUACAGUAAAAAUAAAAAAUAAAAUUAUUUUAAAAAUAUGUCGACGUCCGUGACGUCGAGUAGAUCACUGUGGUAUAUUCAUAUACCUAAAUUGAACACCGUAUGAGAAAGUUUUGAGGAUUGUUGGUUAGGUGUUCAAAUAACGUUUUAUAAUUUUCACAUUUAGGUGAAAAUGUGAAUUGAUGAUCCGACCGUUGGAUCGUCACCAAACUUUGAUACGUUGUAAUACGUAAUAUUUGAGGAUUAUUGGAACUUACGGAUUGGGAAUCCGAGUUACGGAUCUUCCGGAAUUGGAAUUGUAAGUCCAUAAUAUAAAAUGUUAACCGUCA